UUAUGAAUAAGGAUCGGCUAACUCCGUGCCAGCAGCCGCGGUAAUACGGAGGAUCCGAGCGUUAUCCGGAUUUAUUGGGUUUAAAGGGAGCGUAGAUGGAUGUUUAAGUCAGUUGUGAAAGUUUGCGGCUCAACCGUAAAAUUGCAGUUGAUACUGGAUGUCUUGAGUGCAGUUGAGGCAGGCGGAAUUCGUGGUGUAGCGGUGAAAUGCUUAGAUAUCACGAAGAACUCCGAUUGCGAAGGCAGCCUGCUAAGCUGCAACUGACAUUGAGGCUCGAAAGUGUGGGUAUCAAACAGGAUUAGAUACCCUGGUAGUCCACACGGUAAACGAUGAAUACUCGCUGUUUGCGAUAUACGGCAAGCGGCCAAGCGAAAGCGUUAAGUAUUCCACCUGGGGAGUACGCCGGCAACGGUGAAACUCAAAGGAAUUGACGGGGGCCCGCACAAGCGGAGGAACAUGUGGUUUAAUUCGAUGAUACGCGAGGAACCUUACCCGGGCUUAAAUUGCACUCGAAUGAUCCGGAAACGGUUCAGCUAGCAAUAGCGAGUGUGAAGGUGCUGCAUGGUUGUCGUCAGCUCGUGCCGUGAGGUGUCGGCUUAAGUGCCAUAACGAGCGCAACCCUUGCCGAUAGUUACUAACAGGUUAUGCUGAGGACUCUGUCGGGACUGCCAUCGUAAGAUGUGAGGAAGGUGGGGAUGACGUCAAAUCAGCACGGCCCUUACGUCCGGGGCUACACACGUGUUACAAUGGGGGGUACAGAGGGCCGCUACCACGCGAGUGGAUGCCAAUCCCUAAAACCCCUCUCAGUUCGGACUGGAGUCUGCAACCCGACUCCACGAAGCUGGAUUCGCUAGUAAUCGCGCAUCAGCCACGGCGCGGUGAAUACGUUCCCGGGCCUUGUACACACCGCCCGUCAAGCCAUGGGAGCCGGGGGUACCUGAAGUGCGUAACCGCGAGGAUCGCCCUAGGGUAAAACUGGUGACUGGGGCUAAGUCGUAACAAGGUAGCCGUACCGGAAGGUGCGGCUG
rnacentral:rRNA from 1 species